rnacentral:piRNA from 1 species
UAUCAAUGGGCCGGCCUACGGAGCAGGA